rnacentral:misc_RNA from 1 species
GAUGAAGAACGCAGCGAAAUGCGAUAAGUAAUGUGAAUUGCAGAAUUCAGUGAAUCAUCGAAUCUUUGAACGCACAUUGCGCCCCUUGGUAUUCCGGGGGGCAUGCCUGUUCGAGCGUCAUUUCAACCCUCAAGCUCUGCUUGGUCUUGGGCCGCGCCGGCGACGGCGGGCCUCAAAAACAGUGGCGGCGCCAUCUGGUUCCUCAGCGUAGUAAUUCUUCUCGCUGUUGGGCCCGGGUGGCCGCUGGCCAGCAACCCCAAAUUUUCUAUGGUUGACCUCGGAUCAGGUAGGCAUACCCGCUGAACUUAAGCAUAUCAAUAAGCGGAGGA